rnacentral:lncRNA from 1 species
CGGGGCGGGGCGCACGGCGGCGAGCGCUAUCUGGAGCUGACCGUGCGGCUCUUAAUCCCUGGCCUUGGGAAAGUGAAUUGGCCUGAAUAGCAAGGAGGAGAACUUGGGUGUGGAAAUACCGGAUUGGCACGAGGGAUACCAACACCGGAAUAUGUGAUGAGAUGUGUGAAGAGCAUGGCAAUGGAUGCAAACUCCCUUUGUGUUUCUGGCUUUAAGCAGCUCUAUACUCUCAUGCUGUCCU